rnacentral:rRNA from 1 species
UACGUAGGGGGCGAGCGUUGUCCGGAAUCAUUGGGCGUAAAGCGCGUGUAGGCGGCCCGGUAAGUCCGCUGUGAAAGUCCAGGGCUCAACCCUGGGAUGCCGGUGGAUACUGUCGGGCUCGAGUCCGGAAGAGGCGAGUGGAAUUCCUGGUGUAGCGGUGAAAUGCGCAGAUAUCAGGAGGAACACCAAUGGCGAAGGCAGCUCGCUGGGACGUGACUGACGCUGAGGAGCGAAAGUGUGGGGAGCGAACAGG